rnacentral:rRNA from 1 species
GACGAACGCUGGCGGCGUGCCUAAUACAUGCAAGUCGAGCGCAGGAAGUCGACGGAACCCUUCGGGGGGAAGUCGACGGAAUGAGCGGCGGACGGGUGAGUAACACGUAAAGAACCUGCCCUCAGGUCUGGGAUAACCACGAGAAAUCGGGGCUAAUACCGGAUGGGUCAUCGGACCGCAUGGUCCGAGGAUGAAAGGCGCUCCGGCGUCGCCUGGGGAUGGCUUUGCGGUGCAUUAGCUAGUUGGUGGGGUAAUGGCCCACCAAGGCGACGAUGCAUAGCCGAGCUGAGAGGGUGAUCGGCCACACUGGGACUGAGACACGGCCCAGACUCCUACGGGAGGCAGCAGUAGGGAAUCUUCCACAAUGGACGAAAGUCUGAUGGAGCAACGCCGCGUGAACGAUGAAGGCCUUCGGGUCGUAAAGUUCUGUUGUAAGGGAAGAACAAGUGCCGCAGGCAAUGGCGGCACCUUGACGGUACCUUGCGAGAAAGCCACGGCUAACUACGUGCCAGCAGCCGCAGUAAGAC